UCCGCCCCUCCGCCCCUCCGCCCCUCCGUCGGUCGUUCCAGCGUGCGCGCCGCGUACACCCCGGCGUCCUGCGCGUCUGCGCCGGCGGCAGCCUGAGAUCGCGCUCCUGGGCGGCGGGAACCUGGCCUGUCGCGUCCCGGGCGACAGGGACGGGGAGUGGCGUCCCGGGCAGGUGAGGAGUACAGAAGAGGAGACCGUCAUCUAGUCCCGGAGUGGCUCUCAGCAGAGGUCGCUGGUGCUAUCCACGCUUUCUGGUACUUGUUUUCAGGAGAACAAACAUUACAUUUUCGAGCAUAUUGUCUGGCCCAUGACACUGCACAGUCACGGUUCUUCCCGGGGUCUCAUGCCUCCGAAGGGCCUGGAGAGAAGGUUUGCGCAAACUUCCUGUAAGGCAAGGUCACUUCCUGUAAGGAAAGGUUACUUCCGGUGGUGGAAGAUUGCUUCCGGUAAUGGAAGGUCACUUCCGGUAACAGUGUUAGAGGUAUCCUCAUUUCUCUCCUUCCCUUGAACUUCUGGGAGGGAGCUGUCACAUCGGAGAAAAGAUGGCUGACCCCUGAUUACUCCCACCUGGGCGUGGAUUCAAUCUCCUUCUGGAAAUUACUCCCACCUGGUGCAGAAUUGACCUGCACCUCUGGACGGACCCUGGGCCCUGUGCAGACUCUGGAUUAUUCUGUUUUUCUAUGCGGGGCAAGGAGGUUGAGAGCUCCUUAUCUCCCAGUCUUCUGUUAGUUCUGCCUUGCUCUGUUCUCUGUGUCAAGGAAGCCUGUGUUGGAGGGCUGGAGUCAUCCUAAUGCACCCCCUCCUCACCUGUAGCCAUCAGUACAGGGGUAUGGCUGGAGAGCGUCUGAAAGGGGCCUUUUCUGUGGAAUCUUCACAGGUGACUCCCUGGCAUCACUCUGACUCAGAUUAAAGAGGUAGAUUUUAGCUGUAGAUCCCCGUAGAACUGGGUAGCUGCAUGGGAUCCAAGAGCAGCUUUCCUUUCUGAAAACAAAUUUUACCUUCCUGGUGAGAGCUGAGCACUCAGGAAUCACGUUGCCCUUGGGAGAUACCACCCACCAAGUCACUGAGAGAAGGCUUGGGAAGUGACCCUGGAAAGGAGUAGAGCGCAGGUCAGAUUACGCACACACCUUACUUUCCCCUUAAAGGAGAAGGGAAGGAUGGGGGAAUUUCGGAUGAAAAAACAAGUAGCAUCUAAAUAAGAAAAAACACUCACCGUCUGUUGUAUCCCUUUGGCCAGGACAAAGCCCUGUAAAGGAAUCACCCAUGGGAUAUAAGCUGUUAUUGAGGGAGAAGAUUCCUGGUCACUUUAUGCCAGAUGGCCUUGGCUAAUGGCAGGAGGUGGCUAGAGUCAGACCCCAUCACCAGUCUUCCCCACGGUUACUGCCUUCUCUCUCAGGUACAGCAAUUUAGAACAUGUAACGCAGGCUGUAGAAUAAGUGGCUAGAUUAGAUGCAGUUUGGGGUAGAGGAGGGUGAUACUAUCAUUGUGGAGUAUCUGUGCGGGGAGGAUACUUUGGCCUGAGUGCUAAAAUUGCCUAGAAAUUGACAUCAUGCCUAUACCUGAAUAUUAUUGUAGUAAGGAUAUUAUGUUAACAAGGAGGAGUAGGGGUUUAGUUAUCCAUGUGAUUCCAAGAACAGAAAUUUCCUUUAUUUCUCCUGUAUGGAGGAACAGUUUGAGAUGUUUCAGGGGGAAAGUGGGAAGUUAUUAGGACUUUUAGGUGCAAACACAUGCAUACCUCAUGCAAAUUUAAUCUGUAGUCUGAGAAAAUGGAAGGUAGUGGACAUGUGCUGAGGUAUGUGAAGAAAUGUUGCAAAGUUAGAGGAACCAGGAAAUGGAAAAAGGACAACUACAGAGACAGCAGAGGCGUGUGGAGACCCAAAUCCACUUGGAAGCUGCACAUGGGAAGCAGCAUUGACCUACACCUCUGGACCCCUGGGCCCUGUGCAUCAAAGCCCUGGGGGCCUGAACCUUUGUCCCUCCUGCCCAGUCCCUGCAGAAUGGGUGGAGCUCCCAGGACAGACCCUUCCCCACUGAGCAGGAUAUGUGCCCCUUCCGAUACUGCUGAAAGUAGGUAGAUGGUAGGCCUGCAUCAGACAACCUCCUGCAAGUGCACAGAGCAAAGUGAGCAGAGUUCGCGAUGAAGUAGGAUUACCUGUGGGAGCGAGUGUGAUUAUUUUAGAGUCAAAGAAUUUGAAGGUACUUUUAGUUGUUCAUAGUUGUUGGGAAAAUCAGAGCAAAGGGAGGAAUUCGGGGGUGAGAACCCAGCUUAACCUGUAAAUUAAACUUAGUUAAGAAAAAUAUCAUCAUGGGGUGCCUGGGUGGCUCAGUGGGUUAAAGCCUCUGCCUUUGGCUUAGGUCAUGAUCUCAGGGUCCUGGGAUCAAGCCCCUCAUUGGGCUCUCUGCUCAGCGGGGAGCCUGCUUCCCACUCUCUCUCUGCCUGCCUCUCUGUGUACUUGUGAUCUCUCU